AUAACAGUUGUAGCUUAUCCUCCUUUGUUCCAGCUACCCUGCAAGACACUCAUUUAUUCCUCUGAGAUGGGCAUUAUUGUUAUCCCUAUCUUCCAGAAAGGAAGCAUGACUUGACCAGAGACAAACUCCCAUCCUAGUUCCAGCUCCUUGUUCCCACUGAACAGGAACAGCAUCUGCCUUCUGACUAAACAGUUAGGUCUUGGGAGAGGCAUGGAGGCCUUUCGUAAUUAAUCCUGAACGUUGCUGGUGAACACCAGAACCGUGCCUUCUGAUGGGUCUAGGAGCUGUUUCCUUCCUCUCCCCACCCACGGAUUUCCCCAGAAUUGAAUCAGUUUUCAACUUAAGAUCAAGAGAGGCCUGGCCACAUCUGAGACCAGGCAGCCCACCAGCAAAGUCUCCUUCCUGCCCCGAAUACCAGGUUCUGUCGCUAACCUGAGCCUGUACCCCCAGCCCCAGCCCGAAGGACUCAAGCAUCCACCUUUAAGUUUUCUUCUUCUUAAACCUCCUUCUGAAGCUUCAUAUGGUGACCACUAAUCCCUGCCCUCCUGCUCUCACUUCCCCCAACUGCCCAGUGCCAGGACAAGCCACAUCCUGUCCAGCCUAUGCUCACGUCUGUCACUCUGCCUUUUCCCCUGGGCAAACUCCAUUCAUUCUGUUUAGAAGACUCCUCCUUCCGGAAGUCCUCCCACUCCUACAGGCAGCCAUUUUUCCCUGAAUGAGUCCCAGUAGUAACUAAUGGCUUCUAAAUCUGGUCUCAUCCAGUUGGAGAGCCACUUCCAACAAGACUAAGGGUAUAUACUCUAGACCUCCAGUGACCAAGCCCAGACUGUGAGGCUCAGAGUGAGUGCUCCAGAAACAUUUCAUGAUGCCUAUCUAUCCCCUCCUCUCCUCUGCAAGCCUGUGUCUCCAUCAGACAGAAUUGUGGUUUCAAUAACCGACCAAAUGAGUUGUACAAAACUCAAAUCCUCCCAAAAAGGAUUGAAGAUGUUUGAGGAACAAACAGCCUUUGGUGCCAGACAAUGCUUUAAAAAGCUUAAGAGGCCAGGUACGGUGGUGCACGCCUUUAGUCCCAGCACUUUGGGAGGCUGAGGCAGACAGAUCGCUUGAGCCCAGGAGUUCAAGACCAGCCUGGGCAAUAUGGCUAAACCCUGUCUCUAUAAAAAAUACAAAAGGUAGGCCAGGCGCUGUGGCUCACAUCUGUAAUCCCAGCACUUUGGGAGGCCAAGGUGGGUGGGUCACAUGAGGUCAGGAGUUUGAGACCAGCCUGACCAACAUGGUGAAACCCCAGCUGAGGCAGGAGAAUCACUUGAGCCCAAGAGGCUGAGGUUGCAGUGAGCUGAGAUCGUGCCAUUUCACUCCAGCCUGGGCCACAAGGCGAAACUCCGUCUCAAAAAAAAAAAAAA
rnacentral:lncRNA from 1 species